AUUGAACGCUGGCGGCAUGCCUUACACAUGCAAGUCGAACGGCAGCACGGGAGCAAUCCUGGUGGCGAGUGGCGAACGGGUGAGUAAUAUAUCGGAACGUGCCCAGUCGUGGGGAUAACGUAGCGAAAGCUACGCUAAUACCGCAUACGAUCUAUGGAUGAAAGCGGGGGAUCGCAAGACCUCGCGCGAUUGGAGCGGCCGAUAUCAGAUUAGGUAGUUGGUGAGGUAAAGGCUCACCAAGCCGACGAUCUGUAGCUGGUCUGAGAGGACGACCAGCCACACUGGGACUGAGACACGGCCCAGACUCCUACGGAGGCAGCA
rnacentral:rRNA from 1 species